rnacentral:rRNA from 1 species
CAGCAGCCACGGUAAUACGGAGGAUCCAAGCGUUAUCCGGAUUUAUUGGGUUUAAAGGGUGCGUAGGCGGCCAAUUAAGUCAGGGGUGAAAGACGGUAGCUUAACUAUCGCAGUGCCUUUGAUACUGAUUGGCUUGAAUACACUAGAGGUAGGCGGAAUGUGACAAGUAGCGGUGAAAUGCAUAGAUAUGUCACAGAACACCAAUUGCGAAGGCAGCUUACUAUGGUGUGAUUGACGCUGAGGCACGAAAGCGUGGGGAUCAAACAGGAUUAGAUACCCCCGUAGUCCCUGUCUCUUAUAC